AUAUCAAUAAGCGGAGGAAAAGAAACCAACAGGGAUUGCCCUAGUAACGGCGAGUGAAGCGGCAACAGCUCAAAUUUGAAAUCUGGCCUUGGCCCGAGUUGUAAUUUGCAGAGGAUGCUUCUGGCGCGACACCUUCCGAGUUCCCUGGAACGGGACGCCACAGAGGGUGAGAGCCCCGUAUGGUCGGAUGCCUAGCCUGUGUGAAGCCCCUUCGACGAGUCGAGUAGUUUGGGAAUGCUGCUCAAAAUGGGAGGUAAAUCUCUUCUAAAGCUAAAUACCGGCCAGAGACCGAUAGCGCACAAGUAGAGUGAUCGAAAGAUGAAAAGCACCUUGAAAAGGGGGUUAAAUAGUACGUGAAAUUGUUGAAAGGGAAGCGCUCGUAACCAGACCUGCGCCAGGCGGCUCAUCCGGCGUUCUUCGCUGGUGCACUCCGCCCGGCACAGGCCAGCAUCGGUUCCAGCAGGGGGGGAUAAGGGCUCGGGGAAUGUGGCUCCCUCCAGGGAGUGUUAUAGCCCCGCUGCACGAUGCCCUCGCAGGGACCGAGGUUCGCGCUCCGCAAGGAUGCUGGCGUAAUGGUUACUAGCGA
rnacentral:rRNA from 1 species